AUGAUUAAUUUAACCUAAGUUCAGACAGGAGGAGGCACUGGUUGACUUUAGAGGCAGCCUGCCAUGAUAAAAUGUCAAGAGAUGCAGAGACAUUAUCAUUAUGCACAAGAAGCGAGGGGAAAGAGAUACUACCGAACCUAGCAGAGCCAGGAAAAGGGGAAGGUAAAGGAAAAAAAAUCAAACCCAAGCGUCUUGGCCAUCCUCAAAAGAUCUACAGUAGGAGGUGGGUAAUUUGGCCAUGAACUCUAGGCAGAGUGGGAGGCUAUAUUAACCUCCCUCAGAGAAUUGCUCAUCUAAGAAUAAGAAGAUCCUUCAGUCUAUUAGCUUGAGUCUUUUUAAAAGGAGGCCAAGACCUGAGAAAAAAUUACACAAGAUGAGAUAUAAAUAUGGAAGAACACGCUGUCUUAAUUAAGGGAUAGGAGGGAGUCACCCAGAGGGCUUCGGGGGAUAGGGAGCCAGCCUGCCUGGAGUCACAUCCCAGCUCUAUCUCUUACCAGCUGGGGGACAUCGGGUAAGAAGUCCUGCAUACGGAGAUUCAUUGUGCAUAAGCCUGCAAGAAAUUCUGUAUAAUCCAUGGGUGACAGAUAACGAGAAACGUGCGUUUUGUCCUCAAAGGGACGAUGUUCUAAAUGGAGAAACCAAACCACACACAAGGGAAAAGUUACAGAGAGAGAGAGGCAGAGACACAGGCAGAGGGAGAAGCAGGUUCCAUGCACCGGGAGCCCGACGUGGGAUUCAAUCCCGGGUCUCCAGGAUCGCGCCCUGGGCUGAAGGCAGGCGCCAAACCGCUGCACCACCCAGGGAUCCCGAAACACUAUUUUCAAUAAGUGCCCACAAAACAAGAAAGCCAGGUGGCUGCAACAGCAUCAGCAAGAGGGUGGGAGAGAUGAGACCAGAGAGGCAAGGUGAGAAGAGGUGAUGGCUCCGAUGAAGGUGUUGGCGGCGGAGGUGCAGGCCUCUGGGAGAAGGUGCUGCAUUGAAGGAUGAGGGCAGAAGCCCGCCUGGCCUCUCUGGAACUGAGAAAGUCAGAGCUUUGAGCAUCAUGAACAACGAGAUAAAAAUAGCAGUGUUGCCAUAGCAACGAAGGCUGGGAGAGUCCUGAGGAUCUGGCUGGGUCCUGCCAUCUCCCCCUGCAGCCUUUCUGCUGCCUCUCUUCUCCCCUGGAACACAGAACGAGCUGAGUGAGGACGGAAGGACAGGGAGACAGACCAGUAGCCCACAAGGAAACCUUUGCACUUCAGAGCCUCUAGUUCUGGUCGGAGCCGGGGUGCCCAGUUUUGGGGGGUUUUGGGCUUUUGGAUUUCCUUCCUCGGUAUAACAAGUUUCUCCAGGGAUGCCCUGGGGAGCUCCCCAAACUCACCCUCCUGCUGGAUGGUCCUGACUUCCUGGGUCCCCUGUGGAUAGCCACGGUUGCUGUUUCCUCUUUGUCAUGUGUGGCUCUGAUCCCAUGGGAAGUUACAGGAGUCCAGGCUGGACUGGCCACAACAGCCCAGUGCAGUUGGCACUGACUUGGGGGUGUGGCGUGGGGGAAAGAGGAUUCACAGGGACCGCCAGCCUCCCUGCACCUACAUUGUUUAGCCACAGAGGCUUACGAUGCUGUUUGCCUGUUUGCGUUAGGAACAGGGGGGACGAUGGUGAGAGCUACCUCAUGCUCUUGCUUUUGUGCCAGAGGGAUGAAGUGUUCAUUCUGUGGGAACAGAUUCCGGUUCUUGGCUCUGCUGGUGUUGUCAGCCCCAUCACCUGUUGGGCAGGGCGGCCACCUUCAGGGUGAACACCAGGCUUUCUGCACCAGCCUAGAGGAGCCCACCAAAUGCAGCAGUGAGAGUUCCUCCUCUGGUGAAAGCCCCUCUUCACAGUUGUAAACCAAGUAUUUGUCUCGAAAAGUACAAGCCACGUCUCAGCACGUCUGAUAUGAAGUCCCCUUAUAACAUGUUCCUGUGAGGUAGGGAGGAAAUGGGUCUUGUCACCACCUUCUAUAGAGUCUGGGAGAGAGGAAGCAAGUUGCUGAGGUUGGGAGGCAGCCGUGCCAGAGCCUGGGGCCCUGCGGGCUGCAGUUCUCCAUCCAGAGAUGGCACAUCCCAAACCACUGGGUGCAACGCAUGUUCACGCAGGAGACAAGGGCAGCUGGCAGCUCGAGGCAUGUCCCUGUGACCACCGGGAAUGAGGUGGGCUUGGCACCUGCUGGCCCAAGGAACGCUCCUGGGUUACAGAACCGGGGCUGGGACCUGGUGCUCUGAGAUCCCAUCUGCACACCAGGGGGUGGUGUGUGUGUGUGUGUGUGUAUGAGAGAGAGAGAGAGAGAGAGAGAGAGAGAGCGCACAGUGGCACCUGUGGCAGCCUCUCUGGUCCCUGGCUAUAGGAAGCAGGAGAAGCAGAACUGCACAGAGCACUGAGGCAGGAUUCCAGCAGAAGGUCUGGGAGCCUUGGCUUUCCAUCUCAUUGCCCCCACCCCUUCUUAGAUCUACCAUUAUUGCUGCCAUCUGCCCUCCCCUCUGCUUCUUCGGCCUUGAGCCCCACUGAGGCUCAACUUCCCAGGGGCGCAGAGUGCUGGCGUCUGGAGGGGGGUUCUUAGAGGACAUUAUCAGGGAAGAGACUGAGUCCCAGAAGUAAGAUGUGAUGAUAUUAACUUGAGGUCACACCGUCAUCAGUGUCUGAUCAGGGCUAGGACCCAGGAGAUCUGGCUCCCAGCUCAGUGCGCUUUGCAUCUUGCUGUGCUGCCUCACGAUAUUUCAGUUAAAUUAUUGCUCUUUUUAUUUUUUUCAAAAAUAACGAUCUUCCUAUAUAUUUCUAUCAACUCACACGCAACAUCCAGAAAGCCCUUCCCUGGGAAUGGAGAAGGAAAGGACAUUAAAAAAAAAAAAAAAAGACUUGGCCCUGAGACAAGAAGCCGGCCGGUGUCCUGAGGGCCAGGCCCUCAGACAGUAUUUGAGGCACAAGAACCUCAAGCCCCCCUCACAUUUCUUGAUCCCCUCACUCAGUGACCUGCAGCAUGCGCGGGGCCUCCCACAGCUUCGAGGCCUCUGGCCCAAGGACUGGCCUCUUCUGGCCUCUGGCACAAGGACUCAGUGCCACCCAGCGGCCCGCCCCCUCCCAGAGUCAUCUACUUGUGCCUCCCCUGGGGGCUCCCAGCCCCUUCCUCAAGGGGGAGUUUGGGAGAAAAUCCCAGAGUGGAGGGAACUAGAAACAGGCAGGGCAAAAUGGUCCAAGCUGUCCUCUGCGAGGGCGCCUCAGGGCCGGGUAGGAAAUGAAGUGGCCAGACCUCUCUCCCUCAAAAAAAGAACAGAAGGAAGAGAAGCCUGGACUACAAGUCAGCGGCCGGGGGGGCGUGGGCUGGACACUGGGGCUGCUUCUGCCUUUUUGAAUGAAACCUCUCCUCUGGGCUCUCCUAGGGGCCGAAGGGGGGCACAGGUCUCCAGACUGGUUCUCGAGCUUCUGAGAGGAGCAAAGUCAGCAUUUCCCUGAGGAGGAAGCGGAGGGACAGAGAACGUGGGCCGUGCCUGGCCUACGCCCACCCAUCAGCACGGCCCCCCCCUUCACCCUGAUGAAGCAGGGGCUCCAGAGAUCCAGUAUCCCUUUGGAGCCAAAGGAGUUCUCUCCUCCGGGCAAGAAGCUCUCUGAACAGGCUCAGUGCCAAACCCUUGCAGCUGAAAUUCCUGCCAAGGCCUGAGAGGGGAUCUGACUUCGUUCCUGGGCUGACUUGCUCUGUAGUGAUGUAGACGGCAGACUUGCUAAAGCUACAGAAUCCGCCUGAAGUGUCUCUGCCACUGGCCUUGCUGUCCGUGGGACCCUCUAGCUCCUGAGAGGUUCAGGCACAGUGACAGAAGAGCUGAUGUCAUCCCUCAAACUGGAGCCUGGGUGAGUCCAGGAUAGGCACGACAAAGCCACAGCUUCUUGCCUUUGUUCCCCUCCUGCCCCCUCCACCUCAGCUCACCACUGUGCACCUGUGGCUGGGGACCAGGAAGCAAGCUGUCUCACACGUACCAAGAGGUGAAUCGAAGUUUAACACGUAGCCUCCAAACCCAAGGGGCUGGAAGGGCACCAGGGAUCCUGUCUGAUGAGGAAGAAGGGCGGGAGAACAGGUGCACGACUCCCAGGCCUGGAAGCAGUCUGGGCCCUGUGUGCGAUGCAGGUCCCUGGGCCAGCCCUUGAAGUGAGGAGCCCUGGAAGAGAGCCCCCCCUCCCCCAAUCUCCGUGUCCCUCCUGCCCUCGCUGGGUCCCACUCAUCGUCAGCAUGCCUCUGCACCGCCUUGGGAUGCCCCUCGGCUAGAGCCACGCCUCUGCUCCUCCACGCUGUGCUCACCCUGCCUUUAUCCCUUUAUACUUUGCAGAGUGUUCCAGCACCAACUCGGGGGCUCCCUGGGAGUCAGGUCCUCCUCUUGCUAGGUCUACUUGAGGAGGAAGGUGUUUGAAUGUUGGAAAUGACGGAGUCAGGGUUUCCAUGCAGCAAGUGGACCAGCGCCUGGAGGGGCCCCCCACUUAAUCUGCGUUGGUGAUGGAAACUUACCCUCUGCCCUCAGCUUUCGUGCCUCUACCCCAAGGGGCCAAGGGAUGGAAAGAUCAGCCCCAUCAACUCAGAAUAGGAAGGGAAAGAAGGCGGCCACUGGACCAACCUCUGUUAGCUCACAGUUGGCUGCAUGGGACUGCAAGCUGGUGGCCCAGAUUUCUUCCCCAUCCUCCUCUCUGGCCUUUGCCCAGCUCAGGUCUGAGAUGAUCUAGGGUAUGGGGGCGAGAAGGAUCCUCAGCUUGGCCAGCGUUGUGGGAGCCCAAGCAGAGGAGCUGCCAACCCACAGCUCAUCAUCCCCAACCAUCAGGGGGUUCCUGGGCUCCCUGUUGACUCCUUCCCCUGGCCCUCCACCCCGCAUCUUCUCUCUAUACCAGGUACCCUCUAAGGGUUCCCCAGCCCUAGUACCUCCAGCCAAAAGGGAGCAGUGGGCUAGAGACCGCUUGGACACAUGGUGGGAUCAAGAGGAAGAGGGUCUCAGAGAGGGCUAGAAACUAAGAGAGGAGACAGCCAGGGCUUCACUGCUGGCGGACCACAAACUCCUAGGUGCCUCAAAUUUUGGCAGUGUCCUCCACCAAAGUGGAUGGCGGUAGGGGGCUUGGAAGGGUAGGGAGAUAUUCAUAAGUGUUGGGACAUGCCCGGAAUCCUUUGACAAGCAAACAAAAAAAAAAAGGAGAUUUCCCCUCACACCCACCCCCAUCCCCUCACCUCGCAAAGCAGCAGAGUAGCUUCCAAGGAGGCGUCCCCCCCACCCCCCCACUGCCAGCCUCACUCUGCACCCCCCCACCCCAGGUAAAGGGCAAAAGAGAAGUGACCCAGUGAGGAGGGGAGCCUCACGCCUCCAGAACAAUGCUGAGCCCUCCGCCCCCUCCCCAGCUCCCCUUAGCACCGCGCCUCAGUAAUUAAAAUAUGAAUUCACCUUCCCUCCCCGAGCCAUUCAUCACUGCGAAGGGAAGCAGCUGCGGCUUAGAAGACCGGAUUUGGGGGAUUAGCUCGGGCGGUGGAGCAGACACACCAGGAGAAAGAAUUAAAAA